rnacentral:rRNA from 1 species
CAGUAGGGAAUUUUCCACAAUGGACGAAAGUCUGAUGGAGCAACGCCGCGUGCAGGAUGAAUGCCUUAGGGUUGUAAACUGCUUUUAUAGGCGAAGAUUAUGACGGUAACCUAUGAAUAAGGAUCGGCUAACUCCGUGCCAGCAGCCGCGGUCAUACGGAGGAUCCAAGCGUUAUCCGGAAUUACUGGGCGUAAAGAGUUGCGUAGGCGGCAUAGUAAGCAGGUAGUGAAAUUACGGGGCUCAACCCCGUGCCCAUUAUCUGAACUGCUAAGCUAGAGUAUGAUAGAGGUAGAUGGAAUUUCUAGUGUAGGAGUGAAAUCCGUAGAUAUUAGAAGGAACACCGAUGGCGUAGGCAGUCUACUGGAUCAUUACUGACGCUCAGGCACGAAAGCGUGGGGAGCGACCGGGAUUAGA